ACUAAGUGGGAUUAUACUGGGUUGUUGUUGUUGUUAUAUAUAAGCAGACAAUCUACUCUAAGAGUUCAAAUAUUAGAUUACGCUCUGUUGCUUUCAAGAAAAUGUUAGACAUAGGGCGUCACAAUAGCAGAAGUGAGAAAUCUAGCCUUGUCAUUUCAGAAAAUAAGAAUACCUUAAGAUCAUUAUGGAAUUUUAUGUUAUAAGUACUUGUGUUCUGCUUGAACAGGCUGCACUGCAAUGUUUCAUGAACAAGUCUGAAGAACUCCACGCAGAAAUUUGAAAAAGAAAAAAUUGAGUAGAAACAGAACCUCCUGCAACUUGCAAAAGGUGAGCAGCGUUGAAGCAGUGAAAAUUUUGGAUACUGAAAAAAAUGCAAACAUUUUGAGAAGAUUAGCAGAAAAUAGAGGAUGGGAGGAAAAAAAAUACACAAAGUAUUGUAUUACAAUGCAGAUGCUCAGACAGUAUCUUAAUCCUCUUUAAACUGAAAAAUGACUGCUCAUACACCUUCCUCCGAGUAUACAAGGGACAUUCUUCAUAGCACUAAGAUCUCCAGUCUCUUGGUCUAGUGCACCAAUACGUCCAUAUAGCACUUAGCCUAAAGCUUAGCAAGUUAAUGAGACAGUUCGAUGGCCUGUUACAAGUUACAACUAAAGAAAAGAGAAUAUUCUCAUCUGGAGUAAAUAUCAUAGCCAAUAGAAUCAACUGGGGCGGUCACUAAAUGUUCAGAACUUUCGGUAAAGCUCUUGGGCCUUCAAUCUACAUCUUGAGCUUGCACAUCAAAUAUUGAUCAAUCCUCCCUUAAUUUUUUAAUGUCAACUUGAAUUUGAGGAAAAUUGAUCACAGUUCAAUGACUCAAUAUUUAUUCUGAUAGGUAUGGUUGAUCUUGCCCCAACAUUGUUUUUCUUCUAAACAUGCUACCUCCCACCAAGCACAUGUAUCGAGUAACUCUACCCACCAAGGCUUAGGCUUAGACAAAUGGGAAGUAAUCACCUAACGUUUACUAUCUCUGAUAGGGAUUUGAACCCUGGUCGCUAAAGUUUACACUUCAUUACCACUAGGCUUCACCUUAGGUACCUUAUCCAUCAAUCUUAUCGCAAGUAUGCAUAAUUUAUUUAGCACUAAGAAUGUCUCACAUGGACUAAUCAGAACAAGUCAUAAUACUAAUCAAAAUAAAGGCACUAUACGGCAAGAACAGCCUCCUGCGGUUGUCCAUGAACUCAUAGUUAACUUGGAACUAAAAGUUAUAGCUAGAGAUGCUCUAUCAAACUCAAAUGUGACAAGAAUAAGAGACGAAUGUCAAUUUUACCAGGGGGGUACGUUUUAUACUAUGUAAAAGAGUGGUUCCAGUGAGAAGAAAUUCAUUUAUGUAAACAUAUCAAGCAAACAACACACAAGCAAAACCAUAUUCUUCAAUUGACUAGCAUAUCAAAUAUCUUGAUGGCAUUCCAAGAGUCAAUACCCCCUCCCAGCUUUUCUAAGUUCUAUCAUGUUGAUUACCCACUUAUCUAAAAUUUCAGAUAUAAAAGAGUCAAAUUUUAUUCACGCACUUGUAUGCCAUAUGAAUUUUCUCUUGUCAUAAUGGAAAAGCACAAAACAACACAGUUACCAAAAUAAUAUCUCUAAGGUCCAAGAAAACAAAUAGCAUGUCAUUAAGCAUAAGAGACUUUGUAUUGAAUUAGCCGUUUAUUAGGACUUCAUGAGGUAAAUCGUUGCACCUCCAAAACCUAAAAAAUUUCUACUCCUCAAUACCACAAUACAGCAUGUAAGAAAGCCUCGACUUUCUAAGCAAGAUCAUCUUAAUGGAAACAAAAAAUACAACAGCAAAAACAACAGGUACGGCUCAAUCAUCCAAUCUAAUUGAGGAAUGGAAGCAAAAAAGUAAUUUAUGUAAAAUAUCAGGGAAAUAUGAGAAGACGAGGAAAGACUAUACCAAGAAAAACUCAGAGAAACAACAAAACUCGAGUAUUGCGAGAAAAGUAGAAAUAUGAUAUGACAGAUUGUCCCAUCAUCAACUCAAAUACUACUCAGGAAAACUCAAAAUUAUAUUGGAAACAAUAAGCGUGCAACUUACACAAAAACUCCAUUAUCAGAGGCUAUGGAAAGGCAAAAGCAACAUUAGAAAUAGCAAUACAUUUCUGUGCGCAUGCCUAAAAUAGAACAGACAAUAGGGUAAAAGAUCACCAUACCUUUGCUUCCACAAAUGCAGAGCAAGAAUCAAUAAUAUCCAAGUUAUCCUCCACAUUUAAGAAAAGAAGAACUAUACUAUAAUACUGGCAUGGAGAAAGAAAAGAUAAAGCAAAUGAAAUACAAUCAUCUAACCUACUUACAGAGUCUUAAAAAUGCAGUCAUCUAACCUACUUUGGCUCAGACCCUGUAUGUGUUAAAAAAUGCACUAAAUAAGUAAAAAGAAUAAAGUUCCAACCAUUAAAUCAAAUAAGUUGAGGUAGAAUUAUUAACUAGAACCCAAAAUGCUAAAAUCAUGGAUUCGGCUCUUUGAUAAACAAGAUCCAAACUUGAUUUUCUAAUAUUAUUACCUCUCCAUAAACUUCAUCCAAAAAACAUAAUAAUCUUAAACAAACAAAUAUCCAUCAAAUUACCCAAAAAGAGCUACUUUUUUCUCUUAAGAGGCCCAGUUUUAUACCCAGAUUUAGUAGGUUUACCCCAAGGAGU
rnacentral:lncRNA from 1 species